rnacentral:rRNA from 1 species
UGGCGGCAGGCUUAACACAUGCAAGUCGAGCGGUAGCAGAUCUAGCUUGCUAGAUGCUGACGAGCGGCGGACGGGUGAGUAACGCGUAGGAACCUGCCCAGUAGUGGGGGAUAGCCCGGGGAAACUCGGAUUAAUACCGCAUACGCUCUACGGAGGAAAGAGGGGGCUUCGGCUCUCGCUAUUGGAUGGGCCUGCGUGAGAUUAGCUAGUUGGUGAGGUAAUGGCUCACCAAGGCGACGAUCUCUAGCUGGUCUGAGAGGAUGAUCAGCCACACUGGGACUGAGACACGGCCCAGACUCCUACGGGAGGCAGCAGUGGGGAAUAUUGCACAAUGGGCGCAAGCCUGAUGCAGCCAUGCCGCGUGUGUGAAGAAGGCUUCCGGGUCGUAAAGCACUUUCAGUGGGGAGGAAGGCCUCGUAGUUAAUAGCUGCGAGGAUUGACGUUACCCACAGAAGAAGCACCGGCUAACUCCGUG